rnacentral:rRNA from 1 species
AGGGUCCCAGGCCCUUGCCCAGUGACAAAUGUUCAACGGCCGCGGUAUCCUAACCGUGCGAAGGUAGCGUAAUCACUUGUUCUUUAAAUGAGGACUAGUAUGAAUGGCACCACGAGGGUUGCACUGUCUCCUUUCCCUAAUCAAUGAAACUAAUCUCCCCGUGAAGAAGCGGGGGUACUAAUAUAAGACGAGAAGACCCUAUGGAGCUUUAAAUUUCUCUUCAAACGCCAGACACAAACAUCUGACACUUUACAUUAACCCGACGCCUUGAAGAUGAAUUUUAGGUUGGGGUGACCAUGGAGAACAAAAUAACCUCCACGCUGAAAAGGCCUCCAAGCCUUGAGCCGAGGGCUACAACCCAACGCACUAAAAAAUUAACACCCAUUGACCCAAUAUUUUUGAUCAACGAACCAAGUUACCCUAGGGAUAACAGCGCAAUCUACUUCAAGAGUCCCUAUCGACAAGUGGGUUUACGACCUCGAUGUUGGAUCAGGGUAUCCCAGUGGUGCAGCCGCUACUAAAGGUUCGUUUGUUCAACGAUUAAAACCCUACGUGAUCUGAGUUCAGACCGGA